UCGGGUGUGGUGUACGGUGCACCGCGGGUUUGCAUGUAGAUCUUCGGAUACGCAUUAGCCCGCAGGUUGGGGUUCGAUUCCCUGCGCCCGAA